UAAAGCUUCCUCCAAAGAGAGAUGUAGCUCCCAACUGCCAACCCAUUUUUCUCCAUCUUUUAGGUUGGAGCUCAAAAGUCCAUGGCAAGGAAGAGUGCUGAGUCAAUUACCUUAAUCUAGCAAGAACCCUGCAAUGCGUUCGCAUCCAGCACUUUUGUUAAUUUGGAAAAGCCGGCAGGGGUUCCCUCUGCUUUUAUGGGUGGCUGCCACGAUUAUUACAUGACAAGACGCCGGCCUUUUCUUCGGUGAAAAUUAUUGUCUGAGAGAAACAGAGCACAGUCGUCUUUCCCAUUUUAGAAACUACGUUGCCGUUCAUCUCUCUUCAUAAAUGGGAAACUUUCCUUCUCCUCGAGUCUUCUUAUCAAUUUUGUAAAGCACCAUGAUGAGAGGUAAGAAUAUUGUCGAUAACCAUCCACGAAUCAAGCAUUGCUGUGGAUUCUAUACCGUGUUGAUGGAUUUUGCAAUAUAGAAGUCAAAUGCUGAGAGGUGUAGUUAGUUUUUAUGACAUUAUUAGUAUUUGAUGUGAGAACUUUUUUACUUUCAUUUUUAUUAUCUGAGUGUGUGAAUUUUCAAAUUUUUUAAUCAAGUAUUUUCAUUGAAUUUUAUCAAAUAUGCAUAAAUAUUAGACUUCUUUUCUAAUUAAGUUAAUUUUUGCAGAUAUUUUUUACUUGAGUGUGCUCGUGAGCUAUUUUAUUUGAGUAUGUGUAUUUUCAAAAAUGUAUUCAAUAAAUUGAGUGUUUUUAAAUUUAAAAAGCUAAAAAAAACAUCCACUUUACAAUUUUAAAUAGUUCAUGUUUGACCAAGUUAAAUAAUUUAUUUUUAUCAUAAGUUAAAUAAAUUAAAACAACAAAAUAGUAAUAACAAUUUAUCUAAAAAAUAGGAGCAAGAGGCUUAAAAUAAAUAAAUUUGUCAUUAAUAUCAAUCAUAUAACCUUGUUUUUUUUUAUAUUCUUUUAAUUUAAAUAUACUGUCAUUGUUGUUUUAUUGUUUUAUUUUUGAUUUUAUUUAAUGAGAAGGGGACAUUUAUUAGUUUUUAAAAUUAGAAGUGCUUGAUUAAAAACUUUUUCAUUGAAAUUAUUAUAUAAUUGGUGGGUGAAAUUUUCAUAUAUAAAUUUGAUAUUAUUAGCGUUUUUGUAUAUAAAUUUGUAUUUAAAAAUUUCAUUUUGAAAAAAAAAAAAUUAAAUUUCUUGUCACUUCAAAAUUAGAGGUGGAGGUAUGUUUGGUUUGUCCAAAAAUUCUAGAAAUUAAGUCAAUCUACUAUUUUUUUUUAUUUGGACAAGUUUACUCUUAUUUUUCUUUGAAUUUGAAUUAUUAUUAUUGUUUGUUUUAAUAUUCAAUUUGUCAUUAAUAUAAAAGAAUGCUUAAAAAAAUAAAUCUUUCAUUAAUAUCAAUCAUAUAACCUUGCUUUUAUUAUUUUCUUUCAAUUUAAAUAUAUUGUCAUUCAAUUAGAAAUUCUUAAAGUAUAGACAUUCAAUUAGAAAAAAAAUAGAAGUACAUAUACUCAAAUAAAAAUAAAAAAAGUAUAAAGACUCUAUUAGAAAUAAAGUGAAGUGUUCAUACAUACACACAUGAUGUACACUUUAUAUAGUAUGCUGAUGUAGCGAUUUAUUAAACAUGUAGCAUGCAUUUUAUAUAAUCAAAUAGAAACAACUUAUUAGAAAAACGUGAAUUUCUCACAGUUAAAUAGAAAAAAACUUAAAUUGAAAAUUUCUUACAUCAAAUAUACAAUAAUUUAUUUUUAAAACCACAAAUAUUAUUCAAUUAACAAAAAUAAAAGUGCACUUUGUAAACAUUUAAUAUAUAAUUAUUUCUGUACUGCCAAUAAAGAACACCCUAGGUUGGAGCUCCAAAAACAUAUCCCAUCAUCCAAAUUUAGGUUAGGUGCAUGAUCCUACAUGCAAAUCAUCCUUUUCAUUGUCAUGUUGUUGCACUUAAGAUUAACCACGACUUUUUUUAAGGCUUCCACUUGCCACUUGGUGAUAAAGGAGACGAGUGGGCGGCACAGAUGAUUGUUUUGUCGUGGCCACUUUUAGAAUCUCACUGCCUUCAUCCUCACAAUCUUUCCAACCAUGGAAAUUAACUCUUCAAAACCCAUCUUUAGCCUUGAAAACGAUUUGAUUAUUCUAAUCAAGAUAGCUAGCACUAAUUUCAAACGCUGUAAAAAGAAAAAACACUGAACUCGCAUAAAAUAUUUUCUAAAAUACUCUUAGACUUGCUUCAAGCUAGCACAGGCUAUUCAAACUCGCCUAUCCUUUUAGACAAUGGGAAUAUUAAGCCAUCAGAACAUCCGCAUUGGUACCAGCUAAACUCAUUCUUUAGCUAUAGUUUCUAGUAAGUGUAAAUCUUGACAAGGCAUUGUUACUUUCUGAAGGCCUUGCUAUUAUUGUAGCACUCUUCAGUUUGUAGCGGAGAAGAAAGGGAUUCAUGGAAAAGGAAAGAAGAGGGCUUUGGCAGUGUUCUUGUCGUCGUCGGGUUUAGGAUUAGGGUUUGACAAUCCUUUAUCAUCCCAAAUUGAAGAAAAACCCUUGCUAUAUAGCGUUAGGGUGUGUGAUAACUCUUUCUUUGAAGAUGUUGGAGGUGAUGCUGGACGAUCCUUCAGGAAAGAAUAAAAUGAGUGAAGUGAAACGACGAUGACACCAUCGUUUAUGGAUUGAAUGCUUUGAUCGUUACCAUCUCUCAUAUUUUUGCAUCCACUGAUCUCCCUUUUGAGAUUUUCACUCUUUGCUCUUUUAUCAAUUCAUGGCAGAGCUUUCAGUCUUGAAACUUUUCUUGUUUCUUUCUUGUUUUGGUUAUCUGGUAAUUAUAGAAACAGAGUUUAUUAGGCCAAAGAAGAAGGGGAGACUGGGACUUUGAGAUUUGGGUAUGGGAACUUUGAUACAUUCUUGAACUUUAUGGUGUUAAUUUGUAUAGAUCAUAGGAAAUUAUUUUGUUAUGUUUUUCAGAAUUUUUUUUAAUAAAGAAGGGCCUUUACUAAUGUUAAGCAAACAGCAAACCAAUACCUCUUCAAAUGUGACCCAGCAAACCAGCCUUUCUGUGAAUUCCCAGAAAUUUAAGUUUUUAAGUAUAUAUGUCAAGAAAAAACUUCAAGUUUCAACCUUUUCUUAUCUUGUUUUGGCCAAAUGGGGAUGGAGGAAAGUUUCAGCAUAACAAGGUUUCUCCACAAUGUUUGAGUUGUGUUGCAGAAAGUUUUUAAAAUGUUUUAGCAAUCAGAUAUAUUUUUCAUUA